CGCUUUUCUCUGGGCUAUGAGCAGGACUUACGGUGCCCGGCCCGGCCACAGCAGCUGGGAGACUUAAGACAGAGAGAGUCUUCCUCCCUGAAAUGAGGAUAGGCAAGGGGCAGCCGCAGGGGUCUGUGACAUGAACCGGAAAGAAACCUGCAGAAUCCCUGGGAGUUCUGAGUUUCUCAGUCACAGCAGCUAAUCAAUAAGAACAUAACAAGUUCAGCAAGUCCCGGCUUCUGCAGCUGGAGGGGGCUUAGCUGGAGAGGCUCCUGGAUGGGAAGGCAACACUUCCUGGGUUCACGGCCAUGGCUGAGCAGCCUACAGACCCUGCUCACCGCAUGCAUCCUCAGUAUCCUGGGAGGGGCCUGCAGGAGGUGAGCACAGCCCGCUUCCCCAGCCUGUUGGGGGGCCCUGAGUGAUGGAGACUGUCCAGGGCAGCACUGGGCAAACCCAAGGAAGUGCUGCAGAAUCCAGCCCCUCCUGACCCUCUUUCUCCUGGGGCUUCUCUAAAUCUCCCAGGGAAGCUCUUCCAAAACCACAGGCAGCUCAAUUCCCUGUCCAAACCUCCACUCUUCCAGCCUGGUCUCCAGUCACCAGAACCUUCCAGCUGAGCUAAAUUAUAGGGGGGAUGACUGAGCAAAUGGGCAUUAGGAUAAAACCCGGGAAUCAUGCCUGGCAAGGUCUGGCAAAGGCACCAUUUGAGCUUAAUGACAACAGAGAGAUCAUUCAGAAGAUGACCCGCCCCGCAUAAUUUCUGACUUGGCAAUGAAAAGCUGGCAUUGAAGCCAGCUGGUGGGUCCCACACAGGUCUAUGUUCACAGUGGAAAGAAGGUUUUUUUAAAUGAAAGAUGUUGGAGGUGGACAGGGUGAGGAGUGGUCACUUCUGUGUAUGAGAUUCUGGCUUUUGUUCAAGGGCAUGGAAACUUUGUUCAAUAAAUCUGUCUACAAUGGUAUUAUCUAAUGAAUGAGAAUGGAAUUUAAAAAUGCAUUUAAAAAUUUUAAUUUUGAAACAGUUGGUCAGGUGUGGUAGCUCACACCUGUAAUCCCAGAACUUUGGGAGGCCGAGGUGGGCAGCACUUGAGCUCAGGAGUUCGAGACCAGCCUGGGCAACGUGGGAAAACCCCAUCUGUACAAAAAAUACAGAAAUUAGCUGGGCUUGGUGGCAUGUGCCUGCAGUCCCAGUUAAUCAGGGAACUGAGGUAGGAGGAUCACCUGAGACCAGGAGGUUGAGGCUGCAGUGAGCUGAGAUUGCAGCACUGCACUCCAGCCUGGGAGACAGAGUGAGACUCUGUCUUAAAAAAAAAAAAAAGUGUAAUAUUCAUAGAAGUUGCAAAAUUAGUGCAGAGAGUCCCGAGUACUCCUCACCCAGCUUCCUCUGCUGACGACAUGCAUCAUGACCCAAGCCCACGGUUGAAUGCGGGAAUAGGAUGCCGACACAAUCGCACGAAUGCAGGUGUCCAGGCUUUCUGCAGGUCCAGGUCUUCUCCAGCUUUCCCCGGGUUUUCACGUGCCCUCCUUUGGGUAUUUUUAAAUGACUCGAGAGUGACUGUGUCUCCAGUAGGGAAGCAUUCCAGGUAGAAACAGGACCUUUCCAUAGCAAUGUUCCUCUAACCCCAGCAGCAUAAACCAAAGCAGCCCAAUGGACCACAGCAAGCUCGGGAUUUUAGUUUAGUUGUGUGGGUUUUCUCCCAUAGCUUUAAUAAACAGCAUUCCCCAGGUAAAUGUUUAGAGACAGAUGGAGUCACGGCUGCCAUGCUUUUGGGAAGCCCUACAGUUCACAAGUGGCUUCUGGGUCUUUUAAUGGGUAGAUAUAGGUGAAUUCGUC
rnacentral:lncRNA from 1 species